GGUCCUGACCUAGCUCAACUGGUAGAGCGUGGCGUUAACAUUGCCAGGGGUAGAGGUUCGAUUCCCACUGGGACCA